rnacentral:rRNA from 1 species
UGGGGAAUAUUGCACAAUGGGCGAAAGCCUGAUGCAGCAACGCCGCGUGAGUGAUGAAGGCCUUCGGGUUGUAAAACUCUGUCUUUGGGGACGAUAAUGACGGUACCCAAGGAGGAAGCCACGGCUAACUACGUGCCAGCAGCCGCGGUAAUACGUAGGUGGCAAGCGUUGUCCGGAUUUACUGGGCGUAAAGGAUGCGUAGGCGGAUUUUUAAGUCAGAUGUGAAAUACCCGAGCUUAACUUGGGUGCUGCAUUUGAAACUGGAUAUCUAGAGUGCGGGAGAGGAGAGUGGAAUUCCUAGUGUAGCGGUGAAAUGCGUAGAGAUUAGGAAGAACACCAGUGGCGAAGGCGACUCUCUGGACCGUAACUGACGCUGAAGCAUGAAAGCGUGGGUAGCAAACA